UGGGGAAAGCUCACAUCUUUUCCUGCACAGUUUGUCAAAGGUCAGCUUUGACAAUUACCAGGCAAUUCUUUUAUUUGUGAACAUCUGCGACGUCCACUGGAAACUUCUGUACAUAAAUGCUGUCAACCACACAGUGUACUUGAUGGAUCCUUCACAAAAUAACAAAGAGAAAGAUGAUUCCAUUCAUGCUGCCAAAAAAAUCAGUGAGUACCUACAGAUGAGGCAAACAUGCCAUGGAAAAAUGGAGUGGCUGGACAUCAAAUGGAAAGGAGGAGUUCUGAAACAUCCAGUCCAGCAGGAUGCCAGUAGCUGUGGGGUCAUUGUCACCUUGUAUUAUUUGUUUAGAUGGCAAGGGCAAUAGUGAGGGCAUUUCCAGCUGUUCCAGAUUUCCAUUUUGGAACAUCCAAAAAGGAAAUGGCACAAGAGCGAAAAAUGAUGGCUCUGCAGAUACUGAAAGAAUCAGUGUUUGAUGAGACCAAUCACUGUUCCAUGUGCGCACAGAAAGAGCCAAUUGGAAGCAGGCAACAUGUGACAAAGUGGAUCCAGUGUGACCGCUGCAAGAGGUGGUACCACGAGAAGUGCCUGGGCAUGACUAAGAAAAAGCUGAGAUGGGCCAGAGUCAAUGAUUGGGACUGCGUUUUCUGCUGUUAAAUCUGUCGAGAUAACAGAAUUAAUACUUUUAUGUUAUUUAUCGUUUUAUUUACAUUAUGCU